rnacentral:lncRNA from 1 species
CUUGCUAAAACUAACAUGAAAACAGAGGAAUACUCCCAAAGAAUCAGGGUUAUUGUCCCAAAGCUUUUGAGGAGGAGGAGGUUUGAUUUCUCAAGGUUAUUUGUUUGGUUUCAUUUAUCAUUUUUCUUAUCAAUUACUGUUUUGGUUCCUUACUGAGCAAAACUCAAUUGGUUCUAUUUUUUCUUAACAAAUUAUUGCACCC